CCCUUGGAUGGAGAAACUUCUUCUCAGGAAGGAGGCCGCAACGUCAGAAACCAGAACCACGCGGCACGGCGCCAACAGGAGCAAGCCAACGCCCAGCAGCAACCUGCUGCUAACGCGAAGGCAGCAAGCGACCAACACCAGCCACUGUGCGACGACGACGGCAAUACCGACCAAGAUGGUGCCCGGGCCAGACGCAGGUGUUCUGCGCGCACCCGCAAUCUACUAGCCGACCUCAAGGAGACUGACCAC
rnacentral:lncRNA from 1 species